GCUGGUGAAGAUGGAAGAUAGUAACUGCCUGCUCUCUUAGCAUUUUAGACUAAGUUCUUCUACUCUCUUAUCUUCUUAAUUUCACAGCAAACAAUGGGCUAUUGACUAAGCUUUCAGAGCUGUGGGUGUUCUCAGAGGGAGGCCAGCCAGAACACCAGCAUCUCUGGCUUUUCUUCCAACUCCCAAGUUGGAGCUCCAUCUAUCAGAAAUAUGAAAUCCUGGAAUCUUCCUCCUCCUCACUUCUCUGCCUUAAGAUCCUAGUCCACUGACUGGAACAUGGAAGAUGCUCCAUAAUUGUUUGCUGAAGGAACGAGUGAUAACCAGAGAAGCCAGCUCCUGCUUCCUGAUUAAGGCAUGCAGUCAGGCCAGCGGGGAAAUGGCCCUCAUGGCAGAGCUUGCCUCUGCUGGAAGACUGACGGAGCCAGGGCUCUGCCUGCCACAUUUCAUGAGCUGGCCAGAGGUCUUUGGAGUCCUCCCAGUCAUUGCUGAGAUGACUGAGGAUUGUUUCAGAAAAUCAGGCCUCCUCCUGGGGAAUGUGCCUCAGCUUCUGGCUGCGGCAGUGAUUUGGACACCCCUUAAAGACAAUGAGCAUGGUUGGGAGAAGAGCGCUUUCCAUCCCUCUCCUUCAGGACCAUCCUGGAUGCAGCUGCAUCUCUGCUCUUGGCUGUCCUAUGGCUGGCAAUAGCUUUCUUGCUCUCUGGCAGGCACAAAGCAGGGUGUGUGUGUGUGUGUGUGUGUGUGUGUAUGUGUGUGUGUACGUGCACGUGCUCAUGUGUGCAUGCACUGGAAAGCUAAGGCUGAGGCAUCGAAUGACAAGAUCCCUGAAGUAAAAGGCUCCACAGCUGCUUACUCAACCCCUAAUUUGCUGGGGCUGGGCUCCUUGCAAUGGGCUGCCAGACCCUGGUAGGCACAAGGAGACUGGCUGUACAUGUAUUGUGUCCCCUGGGCUGACUGUCCCAGUGAGCAAGGACACCACCAACCUUCUUCCCCCCUACACCCUCCAUAGGACAGUGAGAUCCUGCAUUGGAUUAUGCAUGAGGUGUAUACACUCUGCUUGUAUGUGAGUAUGGAAGAAAGGAUUUUGGCUUGAAACAUUUUUUUAUUGGCAGAGACAGCACUUCUCUUAAAGGAAAUGGCGGAAUUUGCCAAACUAAGCCUCCAGAAGAAAAUAUAACAGAGAGUGUAAAAGAAAUCCAUGUUCAAACAUUGGCAAGUGUGAAACAUUCAAGAUUUUUGUGCGAACAUCACAUUGUGGGAGCAAAAUUAAAUUAAGCUGGUCUCUGGCAAGCGUUGGAAUGAAAGCAGAACUGGAGCAAGCGGAUGGUACUUGGACAUUUUUUGCAAGAAGCCAAACAGAGCAUAAUCAGAUGACAACCAGGGAUCCCAAGGGCUAGGUUCUUUUCUUCAUCUCAUUAACCCACAAGCACUUAACUGCUUUGGGUCCCGAGGGUCCCAAGGAAGUGCCAAAAGGACUGGAACUUUCUUCACCUCCACAACUCAAUGACAGGCAGAGAAGGAAUGAAUUUCAUUCAAAAAAUGUUUAUUGAGCAUCCUCAGAAUAUUUAUUGAGCAAACUACUGUUCCAGGCACCAAAGGAGGGGAUGGUCCCAGCUCCUUUAUGGAGUCUGCAGUCCACAGACUUGAACUCAACUAACUAGAAGGAAAGGCAGCUCAGAGCAAGUGCCCUGUUGGAGAUUGAAGCAACGUGCCAGAGAACGUGGGGGUCAUUCAAGAAUGAGGUUGGAAGAGAUCAUUCUCCUGUUUGCAAAUGAGAAACAAGUAUAGGUGUGAAGAGACCUGUCCACAGCCAUUCAACAAAUGACAAGUCCAAUCGAAGAUGGGACCUGAUUUCUUACACCCCAGGUAUCUGCUUAUCAUCUUGGGUAAGACCACAGGGACCACCCAGACACCCAAAAGAGACACUUGAUUGUUUCCUGGAUGUUCCAGUUUUGGGACCCAUAGAUGUAUGCCAUUUACUUUACAUGCUUUCU
rnacentral:lncRNA from 1 species